AUUGAACGCUGGCGGCAGGCCUAACACAUGCAAGUCGAGCGAGCGGCGGACGGGUGAGUAAUGUCUGGGAAACUGCCUGAUGGAGGGGGAUAACUACUGGAAACGGUAGCUAAUACCGCAUACCAUCAGAUGUGCCCCGGUGGGAUUAGCUAUUAGGUGGGGUAACGGCUCACCUAGGCGACGAUCCCUAGCUGGUCUGAGCGGAUGACCAGCCACAUUGGAACUGAGACACGGUCCAGACUCCGACGGGAGGCAGCAGUGGGGAAUAUUGCACAAUGGGCGCAAGCCUGAUGCAGCAAUGCCGCGUGUGUGAAGAAGGCCUUCGGGUUGUAAAGCACUUUCAGCGGGGAGGCGUUACCCGCAGAAGAAGCACCGGCUAACUCCGUGCCAGCAGCCGCGGUAAUAC
rnacentral:rRNA from 1 species